UCUAGUUUUCUCAGGUUGGCUUGACGAAGAAAUUCGAAAUGCAUUUAUGAAAUUUCCCGACUGUAUCACUUCUGAGAAAAAGAUAACGUCAAUGGAUUUUCUUGUGAAUCAAACGGGUUAUAAACCAUCGCUUAUUGUCGGUGAUUUUGAGUUUAAAGUUUGGAGAAGAGGAGUAUACCUAGGUAGAAGCUCCAGAACCGUUGAAGCUAUACCCAAGUGCUGUUAAAUCGAGAGCUACCUAGUAGUGCUUCUGAAGGAUGUUCAGUCCUGGAGGAUUAACUUGUUGAAGUAGGUUGGGGAUAUUGUUGAUGGGUGUCUUUAUUAUUACUACUGUAAGGAUGGCAAGUCCAGAGUGUAAUGGAUGGCCAUAUAAAGUUUGCAACUGAAGAAGCUGCAAAGAAGGCAGUAAAUCUUCGUGAAUACUUGUUGGGUCCCCGUAUUAAACUUUUCCCUCGACUGGAAAACCCCGGAGCAUCGAAAACACUUCUCAUGAAGGACAUACCAUUUUACACUGUUAGAUCUGAUGAUCAAGUUCUUUAAACAGGUUGGGAAAAUUGUUGAUGUGUGUUUCUUUUGCGAUAAGGAUGAAAAGUUCGACUGGUCUCGCCAUAUUGAGUUUGCAACGGAAGAAGCUGCAGAGAAGGAUCAAUUUCUUUGAAAAUGUUGGGGAUAUCAUUGCUGUGCGCGUGUUUCUCUCGCGACAAGUAUCAAACUACUUUAAGGAGAGUUUCCCAUGUUGAGUUUGCAUCUGAAGAAGCUGUGAAGGAGGCAGUAAAGUGGAAUGACAGAGACUCAUUAGGCUGUCCUGUUCGACUUGGCAUUGUUCGUGACAGACUGACAGCCUCUGUGUCCAAGGUCUUGAUACUUCUCUCGGAAUCGAUAAGAUCGGGAGCUUUGCGAAUCCAUCAUUCUCGUGGAAGUUCCAGAGUACCACGACAUUGGUGCUCACACUGGUUGGUAGAUUUUCUACCAGGACGUCCAUUGCAAUUUCUUUUGGAGAGUACAUACAGCAUGACAUGGACACUACAUUUUUGUAGUAAUUGGUAAGAAGUUGUUCCUUAAUCUGUUCAUUCAGACAUAGAGGCCACGGUCGAGAAAUGAAUUCCGAGGAUUGAAUAACCAAAGCUCGAAAUGAAUUCCGAGGAUUGAAUAACCAAAGCGCGUAGCCCGGUAACCUUAACAAUAGAUUAAUGUGUAUCUGUAAAUGCAAAAACAAAACAACUGACAAUAAGGAUGAUGGUGAUGGCCAGAUCACAAUGAUGGCGUAAUUCGUGUAUUCUGCCUUUUUAUGUGCUUUGCAAUUUCCUUGUUCCUUGAAUUGAGAUAAUUUGCAGAUUUAAUUUAUCCUGA